AUUAACGGAUAGAUAACAUUUAAGACUAUUAUCUUAAAAGUUUGUUUGAUAUAGAAUUUUAGAGUAUAAGCCCUUGUUUGAGUCUCAAAAGAACAAACUAUAAUUGAAAAAUAGAAGUUCAUCAUCAUUACUACCAAUGAUGGGCUCAGAAAAUGGUAAAUUCAAACUUUCCCAUUCAUUAAGAAGAUAACGACCUUGAAAAUUGGCAUGGCUCCAGUAUAGAACUUGACAGCAUGAGAAUUGGCUUCCGAUUUGAUACACAUCUCAAGUCUUGUUGUUAGAUCAUAAAUAAACUGCUCUUUUCACACAAGAUGAAAUUUGUGUUAACUCAUGCAUGCAGAAUUUACAGGAUGUAAAAACAUGCCAAAAUCUAUCUUCAAUGGUGGAAACAAUCACCAGUUCAAAGAAACUGACAAUGUUGAAAUCUUAUUCUUCAAUCAUGCAUAUUUUCUAAUUCAGAGCAGCUCAUAAUGGGAAGAUGCUUCUUCCCUAAGUUAAUCAUACUGCUCAAACUCUCAAAGCAAAGGGGAGACCAGAAUGAGUCACUCAGCCGUGUUCCUUCUUUAUACAAGUCACCCUUUCUUUAUUUUGCCAAAAUUAACAAUGGGAUAUCUGUAGCAGGAAAUUCAACAUAAAGACUAAUUGGUACUCAUUACAUUACCUGAACUUUUCGCAGUAAAUUGCGUGUGCAAUGCAGCUUCUCUACAUGCUCUCUUUUUUGCAAAAAGAGAAGGAUUGACGCCAUCACGCCUAGAUUGCACGGACAGAAUCUGCAACAAUUACGAUGAAUUUUGUUUUGAACAAGUUUUCAUCGUGUCUUUUUUUUUUUUUUUUUUUUAAACUACAAUUGGUAGUAACCAAAAAGAUCCUUGCCAAACACCUUUUCGUUAAGCUGUUCCAUGUUUGCUUCCAUACUAUUUAUAUUAUUUUUCAUCCUAGAAUAAUAGCGAAAACAAAUGAGAUUAACAAAAAGAAAUAAUAAAUGCAUCAAAAAUCAGGAGAAAUUCAACAUUAUAAAGGGAGUAGACUGUUGGAUGUAGAAGGAUAGAGAUUGAAGAAAUAUGAGAUUUUACUAAUGAAAUUUCGGGAUUACAAAAAAGUUGCUACAGCAUACUCUUCUCUCUAUUUUUUUAGAGGUUUUUUCCUCACUUUUUCUACAUACUUGACACUAGAUAGAUGCCUUCAUCUUUAUAGAAAAUAUUGAGUAAACUAGACCUAAGAAUUUACUACAACCACAACUAGAUAAUAGCUGUUUUUCUUCAUCAUUUGCAGCUAUUAUGUCUUCAAUUGCAGCUGUGUUUGAACAUGAGAAGUGUCAAAUGGCUGCUCCAUCAUGUAAUUUCCAGAUUACAGCUGUUAGUGAACAUCAAAUUGCUGCCUAUGUUCAUUUCCAGCUUGCAUAAGAUGAGUGUACAAAUUGAAUUGAAAAACUCAUCCAUUUGACCAUUCAAAGAA
rnacentral:lncRNA from 1 species